AUUGAACGCUGGCGGCAGGGUUAACACAUGCAAGUCGAACGAUGAUUAUCUAGCUUGCUAGUUAUGAUUAGUGGCGGACGGGUGAGUAACAUUUAGGAAUCUGCCUAGUAGUGGGGGAUAGCUCGGGGAAACUCGAAUUAAUACCGCAUACGACCUACGGGUGAAAGGGGGCGCAAGCUCUUGCUAUUAGAUGAGCCUAAAUCAGAUUAGCUAGUUGGUGGGGUAAAGGCCUACCAAGGCGACGAUCUGUAACUGGUCUGAGAGGAUGAUCAGUCACACCGGAACUGAGACACGGUCCGGACUCCUACGGGAGGCAGCAGUGGGGAAUAUUGGACAAUGGGGGCAACCCUGAUCCAGCCAUGCCGCGUGUGUGAAGAAGGCCUUUUGGUUGUAAAGCACUUUAAGCAGGGAGGAGAGGCUAAUGGUUAAUACCCAUUAGAUUAGACGUUACCUGCAGAAUAAGCACCGGCUAACUCUGUGCCAGCAGCCGCGGUAAUACAGAGGGUGCGAGCGUUAAUCGGAAUUACUGGGCGUAAAGCGAGUGUAGGUGGCUCAUUAAGUCACAUGUGAAAUCCCCGGGCUUAACCUGGGAACUGCAUGUGAUACUGGUGGUGCUAGAAUAUGUGAGAGGGAAGUAGAAUUCCAGGUGUAGCGGUGAAAUGCGUAGAGAUCUGGAGGAAUACCGAUGGCGAAGGCAGCUUCCUGGCAUAAUAUUGACACUGAGAUUCGAAAGCGUGGGUAGCAAACAGGAUUAGAUACCCUGGUAGUCCACGCCGUAAACGAUGUCUACUAGCCGUUGGGGUCCUUGAGACUUUAGUGGCGCAGUUAACGCGAUAAGUAGACCGCCUGGGGAGUACGGCCGCAAGGUUAAAACUCAAAUGAAUUGACGGGGGCCCGCACAAGCGGUGGAGCAUGUGGUUUAAUUCGAUGCAACGCGAAGAACCUUACCUGGUCUUGACAUAGUGAGAAUCUCUCAGAGAUGAGAGAGUGCCUUCGGGAACUCACAUACAGGUGCUGCAUGGCUGUCGUCAGCUCGUGUCGUGAGAUGUUGGGUUAAGUCCCGCAACGAGCGCAACCCUUUUCCUUAUUUGCCAGCGGGUUAAGCCGGGAACUUUAAGGAUACUGCCAGUGACAAACUGGAGGAAGGCGGGGACGACGUCAAGUCAUCAUGGCCCUUACGACCAGGGCUACACACGUGCUACAAUGGUAGGUACAGAGGGUUGCUACACAGCGAUGUGAUGCUAAUCUCAAAAAGCCUAUCGUAGUCCGGAUUGGAGUCUGCAACUCGACUCCAUGAAGUCGGAAUCGCUAGUAAUCGCAGAUCAGAAUGCUGCGGUGAAUACGUUCCCGGGCCU
rnacentral:rRNA from 1 species